rnacentral:rRNA from 1 species
AUUGGACAAUGGAGGCAACUCUGAUCCAGCCAUGCCGCGUGCAGGAAGACUGCCCUAUGGGUUGUAAACUGCUUUUAUAUAGGAAGAAACCUUGGUACGUGUACCAAGCUGACGGUACUAUAAGAAUAAGGAUCGGCUAACUCCGUGCCAGCAGCCGCGGUAAUACGGAGGAUCCAAGCGUUAUCCGGAAUCAUUGGGUUUAAAGGGUCCGUAGGUGGAUAAUUAAGUCAGAGGUGAAAUCUUGCAGCUCAACUGUAAAAUUGCCUUUGAUACUGGUUAUCUUGAGUUAUUAUGAAGUAGUUAGAAUAUGUAGUGUAGCGGUGAAAUGCAUAGAUAUUACAUAGAAUACCAAUUGCGAAGGCAGAUUACUAAUAAUCAACUGACACUGAUGGACGAAAGCGUGGGUAGCGAACAGGAUUAGAUACCCUGGUAGUCCACGCCGUAAACGAUGGUUACUAGCUGUUUGGACCUUGUGUCUGAGUGGCUAAGCGAAAGUGAUAAGUAACCCACCUGGGGAGUACGUUCGCAAGAAUGAAACUCAAAGGAAUUGACGGGGGCCCGCACAAGCGGUGGAGCAUGUGGUUUAAUUCGAUGAUACGCGAGGAACCUUACCAGGGCUUAAAUGUAAGUUGCAUUAGUUAGAGAUAGCUAUUUCUUCGGACCACUUACAAGGUGCUGCAUGGUUGUCGUCAGCUCGUGCCGUGAGGUGUCAGGUUAAGUCCUAUAACGAGCGCAACCCCUGUUGUUAGUUGCCAGCGAGUCAUGUCGGGAACUCUAACAAGACUGCCAGUGCAAACUGUGAGGAAGGUGGGGAUGACGUCAAAUCAUCACGGCCCUUACGUCCUGGGCUACACACGUGCUACAAUGGUCGGUACAGAGAGCAGCCACUACGCGAGUAGGAGCGAAUCUUAAAAGCCGAUCACAGUUCGGAUCGGAGUCUGCAACUCGACUCCGUGAAGCUGGAAUCGCUAGUAAUCGGAUAUCAGCCAUGAUCCGGUGAAUACGUUCCCGGGCCUUGUACACACCGCCCGUCAAGCCAUGGAAGUUGGGAGUGCCUGAAGUCCGUUACCGUAAGGAGCGGCCUAGGGUAAAAUCGAUAACUAGGGCUAAGUCGUAACAAGGUAGCCGUACCGGAAGGUGCGGCUGGAACACCUCCUUUCU